rnacentral:rRNA from 1 species
GUCCAGACUCCUACGGGAGGCAGCAGUGGGGAAUAUUGCACAACGGGGGAAACCCUGAUGCAGCGACGCCGCGUGAGCGAUGAAGUAUUUCGGUAUGUAAAGCUCUAUCAGCAGGGAAGAAGAUGACGGUACCUGACUAAGAAGCCCCGGCUAACUACGUGCCAGCAGCCGCGGUAAUACGUAGGGGGCAAGCGUUAUCCGGAUUUACUGGGUGUAAAGGGAGCGUAGACGGCGAUGCAAGCCAGAUGUGAAAGCCCGGGGCUCAACCCCGGGACUGCAUUUGGAACUGUGUGGCUGGAGUGUCGGAGAGGCAGGCGGAAUUCCUAGUGUAGCGGUGAAAUGCGUAGAUAUUAGGAGGAACACCAGUGGCGAAGGCGGCCUGCUGGACGAUGACUGACGUUGAGGCUCGAAAGCGUGGGGAGCAAACAGGAUUAGAUACCCCAGUA